AUCCCCCUGUGCAAUUUGGGGGUCAGUUUUUCUUACCCUUGUGCUUGACUCAUUCUGGCCAGUGUAUAUUUUGGUGUUGAAUUUCUUUGCUUGUUCUCACCUUUGAGGUUUUUUGGCCGGUUGGCCUUUAUCAUCCACGGGGAACUGGUCCCUCUGAAGCUGAGUCUUGCCUUGUCUUUGGGCAUCACCCGACGGCGUCGCCUGGAUGAAGCUGAGGAAGCCUGUGACUGCAGUCGGGAGGCAUCUCGAGCUAAUGAAGAUGUUUUCCCCUCUAUCUGCCGUUAUCUGGGCGCCUGGAAGAGCUGCGGAGGAGCUCUCAUCCUGCUCCAGGCAGAGCUGAUGGGAUUUGCACCGGUCCCAGUUGCCAUGGAGAAAGUGUUAGAUGGCUUUAAUACAUCUCUGCGAAUUUCUCCCCGGAGUUUUCCUGUGACAAGCUGGACUGGAGGCGAUGAAAACAUGAAUGAUUCAUAAAAACAAAGGGGAAAAAAACCAUAAUUUCCAGCUUGGGAUGCCAAGAAGCCAGUCAUCCACCCGCCUGGCGAGCACACGCUCUCGUUUGGGGUUACUUCCCCCUGGAUUCCUCACUCUGCUCUGCCUUAACAUAUAAGAUUAUUGGACACAGACCGUGAUGGAAUCAAGGAAACCUGGGCUGGAUGUUUUCAGCAGGAGAGGAGGCGGCAGGAAAAUUAGGAGGAGCUGAGAGAGCAGUGGUGGCUGCAGAACCCACAGCGGCUUCUGGAGACCGGAGCAACAAGCCCUGGGCCAGUGGGUCGGGGAGCUGGACAUCGUGUCAUCCCUGCCACCUCCUUCCUCUCCCUUUCUGCCUUCUUAUUUUAUUAUUUUU
rnacentral:lncRNA from 1 species